rnacentral:rRNA from 1 species
UAGGAGCUUAANUCCUAAAUUGCCAUUGAUACUGGCGGGCUUGAGUGUAGAUGAGGUAGGCGGAAUGCGUGGUGUAGCGGUGGAAUGCAUAGAUAUCACGCAGAANUCCGAUUGCGAAGGCAGCUUACUAAGGUACAACUGACGCUGAAGCACGAAAGCGUGGGUAUCAAACAGGAUUAGAUACCCUGGUAGUCCACGCAGUAAACGAUGAUAGCUGGGCGUAUGCGAUAUACAGUAUGCUCCUAAGCGAAAGCGUUAAGUUAUCCACCUGGGGAGUACGCCGGCAACGGUGAAACUCAAAGGAAUUGACGGGGGCCCGCACAAGCGGAGGAACAUGUGGUUUAAUUCGAUGAUACGCGAGGAACCUUACCCGGGAUUGAAAUGUAGAUGACCGCUCCUGAAAGGGAGUUUUCCAUCGGGACAUCUAUGUAGGUGCUGCAUGGUUGUCGUCAGCUCGUGCCGUGAGGUGUCGGCUUAAGUGCCAUAACGAGCGCAACCCCUGUCUACGGUUGCCAUCAGGUAAUGCUGGGAACUCCGUAGAGACUGCCGUCGUAAGGCGUGAGGAAGGUGGGGAUGACGUCAAAUCAGCACGGCCCUUACAUCCGGGGCGACACACGUGUUACAAUGGUAAGGACAAAGGGCAGCUACCUGGCGACAGGAUGCGAAUCUCUAAACCUUAUCACAGUUCGGAUCGGAGUCUGCAACUCGACUCCGUGAAGCUGGAUUCGCUAGUAAUCGCGCAUCAGCCAUGGCGCGGUGAAUACGUUCCCGGGCCUUGUACACACCGCCCGUCAAGCCAUGGGAGUCUGGAGUANCUAAAG